UACGUAGGGGGCAAGCGUUGUCCGGAAUCAUUGGGCGUAAAGAGCGCGUAGGCGGCCAGAUAAGUCCGGUGUGAAAGUCAAAGGCUCAACCUUUGAAUGCCGCUGGAAACUGUCUGGCUAGAGUCCGGGAGGGGCGAGUGGGAUUCCUGGUGUAGCGGUGAAAUGCGCAGAUAUCAGGAGGAACACCAAUGGCGAAGGCAGCUCGCUGGAACGGUACUGACGCUGAGGCGCGAAAGCGUGGGGAGCGAACAGG
rnacentral:rRNA from 1 species